ensembl:lncRNA
UGUGUGUGUAUGUUAGACCAGUUUAUGUGUGUAUGUAGGAUGUUAGACCAGUUUAUGUGUGUAUGUCAGGAUGUUAGACCAGUUUAUGUGUUUAUGUAGUAUGUUAGACUAGUUUAAGGAGGAGGAGAUGCGCAGGAGGAACAAAGAGCUGGAGGAGGCGCAGCAGGGGCUGCAGGGAAGGAAGGAGGACUAUCAGAGGGAUCUAGAGAGACUGAGGGAUGCUCAGAGGAGGCUGGAGAGGGAGAGGGAGCAGCUGCAGAGGGAGGCGGAGAGAGUGGAGCACCUCCGCGAGGUGGAGGCUCGGCUUCAGCGCACACCCUCCAGCACAUCAGAGGACUCCCUGAAGCUCCAGAGCAGCAGCUCCAUCGAGCGAGAGAUCUUGGAGGGCGAGUUAUCGUCCAGCCCCAGGAAGAACUCUCUGUCCAGGAUGGACUCCAAACAGAAGGGCCGCAGCCUCUUCUCCCUGGUCGGCAAAACUCAGAGCUUAGAAGGACAACACCAGAUCCCCACACGACUGCUUCAGCUGGCUUCAUCCAAGGAGAAGAAGGACAAAAAGAAGAAGAAGAGCAAGAGCCAGCCUCCUCAGGAUGCAGGUGAACACAGUGAACACACACACGUUAAUUCAAUAGAGAUAAUGAUAAAGAAUUGAUUCAAUUAGCCUGCAAACCACAACCGCCGUAUCCGUUCUGACUGGAAUUGGUGGUAAGUUCUCUGUCGCAGAACGUCACAUGUUUCCAGAAGGAAGGGGUUUGCUUUUGAAGGUCUGAUAGGAUUUUUGAUCCGAGUCGCGUGUUAUGUAUCAAUCUCAGAUGUUUAUUACACUGAGAAAGAUGUCUGUAUUUCCUCCUCAAAUCUUGCUGUUUUUUUGUCUCCAGCAUCACAUCUGCUGCCCCUGACAGAGCCUUCAGUGGACGGGGAGAUCUUCUUCUGCUGAUUUACCCAUCAUCCCUUCUGUCCACAUCAUUCCCUUUCAUGGACUCUCUAUCAAAUCAUGUAGGAAGUCACCUAAAGUGCCCUCUUCACAUUUUGGCAAUCUCUCUACAAUAUAAUACAUCUCACAGACACAGAACAUGUCCAGGUUGCAUUACACCCCAAAAUCAAAAGAAAAAUUAUAUUUUGCCUAACCCAAAUCAAUACUAUUCUAGAAUUGUUUUUAUUUUUUGUGACAUUAUUUUACUAACACUUUAGCCCCCAAAUUUUCAUUACCGUAAUGUAUGAAUAGUAGUAAUAUAUUAUUUCAAUUGUAAAGUAUUUAUAUACUACGGUAAAUGUUUUUCUGCUUUUAAAUAAUGUUUUAUUACAGUAGUUUUUGCUGUAAUAAAGUUUUCUCCAUCACAGUAAUGAGAAUAACCAUUGGGAAUAAUAAUUAGUGAUUAUUAUAUAAAAAAAAAACCCUCAUGUUGCAUUAUGGUAAUGGCUAUAUAUAUAUAUAUAUAUAUAUUCCCAUUACCAUUAUGCAUCAUGAUUUUUUUCCCCCAGACAACAUAUCGCAACAUAUAAAAUCUUAUAUUUGCACUUGCUUUCAAAUGUUUAUCAGACAAAUCCCAUCUUUGAAUACUUGUUAAAAUGUGCAUUGUAUAUACAUUUCAAUUACUGCACUCAUUUAUAAAUGAACUGUGCCACCAAAAACUUUCAAAAUACAAAACUGGGGAUUGUUGCUCCCCCUACUGGCCAACUUUUUUAGGCUGAAAAAUCAUUUCGGCUUAUUGCGCACAAGAACGACUAUUUACAAUUUAAUCACGGUUUUAACAUUUAAACGGAUGCGGGGAGAGAGGUGGUUUUCCGUUUCCCCCAUGCUUUCUACUUUAGCUUCUCGAAGGAGUCCCGUCUUUGAAAUGCCACGAGCACUUUAACACCAUUCACACGUUACCCUUGCCCCGAUAAUGACAAUCAAUUUUUCAUUAGCAUUCCAAAGAUAAAGCCCUAAGGACAGUUUUUGGGGGCCAUUGUAUAACAUAACAUAUGGCAUUUCAUGCUAGUUUGAGAUUCUCUAAUCCUUCUGUGUUGAAUUCUUCAUGACUUUAGCAGGACGGAUGAGCUGUAAAUACUGUAUGAACUGUAGACACCUGAGGGAUAUUUAAAGCAACCUGCUGGACAGGUAAAAGAGAUUAACAUCCACGCAGCAUAGUGUACCUCACCUAUACAUCCACCCUUAUGGAUCAAAUGCACCAUAUCAUAUCUAAAUAUCAAUAAUAAUACAAUUAACACCCUGUCUUUGCACUCAAAGUGUCCACUUAUUUCAUCACGCGUGAAUAUUCACCUUGCAAUCCUACAGGAUUUUGUUCAGCUAGACGUUCUGUUGGCUUGAUUUUGAGUUAUUUAUUGUUCAAUGAGAAUUUAAAUUUAAAUUUUUUAAAGCAGUACAUGCUCUUAAAGUCUCAUUUGUGCAGGUUUGCGUUGCAGCUUUCACCUGCGCUGACUUGAUUCCGCCUUGAGGGAGCAGUAGAGAAGCGUUUUAUAAUGGAAGGCUCCUCUGUGGUUUUACAUAACCUCUCAGUGAUGGCAGAGGAGACACAGUGAUGCAGUGCAGGAAUUAUUAUUUCUUCACAUGCACAAAGGGAAUCAUUGGUUCGUCAUCUAAGGAAAACGGUGCCUAUGGCCUUACAGAACUGUCAGCGACACAUGUCCUCAGGAACAAACAAGGAAAACUCAAUCCAGGCGGUAUACACAUUGUUGCCGUCUCUCAUGCGUAAAUGUAAACUUAAGUUGCUUAGCCUUAAAGAAAUGAUGGUGUGCACUAAAAUAUAACCCAGCAUUUUCUCAGGAGUAUAGGUUUGUUUUAUCAUCUUUGUUUUGAAAGUAAGGUUUAAUUUGUACAUUGAGGUACAUACGUUUUCUUGCUUAAAAAAGG